GAUACGAAUUAGUGUGCUUAAUUCGUAAGGAUAGCGGAAGCAAACAACCAAUAACGAAGGUACUAGGUACCACCCUUAUUAGUCGAAUUCUAUUAAGUGUUUUGGGUAUUUGUUUCUUUUGUUUUAGUNNNNNAAAGAGAUUAGCACUCAACACCAAUUGAGCUAAUCGGACUAUUUUCAAGGCGACACUUGCAAAUAAUCAGGUGAAAAUGUAGACACAAAUUCUAAUUUGACUGAAAUUGUUCUUGUUUAUUGAAUAAUUGUAAAUGAUCAAAUUACAUGCAUAUAUGGCCGAAAAAACAGUAAGGCCUAAUUAAACACAAUAAAACUAGUAAUAAAAAUGCAAUUAACUAGAAAUAAAAUGACUUAAUGCAAUCAGCUCAUGAUACUCCUUUUCCAUGAUUAGUCACACGCCUAUUUAAGGCCUUGAGUGUCCCAUUUAUGCUUCUUUUGUAACCAUCUUGAAAAGGCUUUAAAUGGCUGAAUUUUAUUUGUCUUAAUUGAUGAAAAUGCUUAAAAUAACCAAGUAAUUAAACUCAGCCCUUGAUGAGGAUUCCAAAUAGUCCCCACGCCAUUAACUUCCCUUUGAAUGUCACUUGUGUUGAUUUUCAACUCCUCUUGGUCAAUUUUCGUACCAA
rnacentral:lncRNA from 1 species